UUGAAAGUUUAAACGGAAUGGGAUAUUACCUAUUCAGGAGUAGAAAAAUGGAAUAUCAAACUUUUCGGAAUCGAUCGCGCCAAAAUACAUCGUCCUCGGUUCAAAAAUUCCAAUUUCCUGGAGAAAAAAAAAAGAAAGAAAACCAAAAUAUUUUUGCCUAAAUUUCUACUAAAAUAAGACUAUAUCUUCUUUUAUUUUUGCUCGAAGACUCCCCUUUUUUUAUUCGAGAUUUUCUCUCUUGUUUAUUUUGCUUCUCGCCUCCAAAAACUUCCCAACCCCAAAAUCUGAUCCACGUUGAGCUAUUUAUAGAAAGGUGUAUUGGGGGGUAAUUUAGGGAUUUCUAAAAUAGGAAAUUUUGAAAUUCAAAAUUGAAAUCGCUCCUCCUCUUCGGUUUUCAUCCAUGAUGUCUAUCAAUUUUUUGGAUUCUUUGACAAAAAUUAAAAGUUGUGGACUAAUAAAAUUUGGGAAAAAUAAAUUGUCUUCAAGAACCAAUGAGAUUCAUCUAAAUAUGUACGAAAUCAUACCAUUUCAUCCGAGAAUUGCAGAGUAAAACCAUUGGGGAUACAACUCAUCAAAUUCUAGAAACUUAUUGGUUUUUCUCGUAUGAAUUUAAGGGGGACGGGUGGAGAGGAUUAAAAUGGGUCGAUUGCGGGUUGUGCUGGGUCGGGUCAUCGUUAAACCGGAGUAUUAGUUGUUGGAUUAUCUUCAUUGGUGUCUUAUCGGGUUGAAAUCAUCAUGUGUAUUUCUGAUAUUAUUGUUGCUGCUAAUGGGUAAAAGGAGAAAAGUUGGGUGGGUGGGGUUUUAAGUUGGAUUGGUAGGUUGGCUCUGGCUGGAAUAAGGUUGAUGGGCUGGUGUAGCAUUGGGCCUGUGGUGAUGUUGUUUACUGAAGGAGAAAGGAUAGAAGAGAAAUGGGCCGACAGUUUGGCCUGUCUUGGGUCAAUGUUGAAGUGGUGUCAAAUUGAGUUUUAAUUGGGGUUAAAAUAACUCCAAUUAGAUUUAAUUGGGUUAAAAUUUCCCUAAUUAAAUUAGGUAUGUGGUAAUUUUCAAAAUUAUUUUAGAAUAAAGAAAAAAAUAAUCUCAAUAAAAAUAUCAUUUCAAUUAAGAUUUAGCCUAUUCUAUUUAAAUUUUGACCAAAUUAAAAGUCGAUUGUCCAAUUGCAUUUUAAUUGUGGCAAAAUUAGUUUCAAUUAUGAUCAAAUUUAAUAGAUUGGUUAAAUUAAAUUGAAAUUUGAUAUGAAUUAAUUGUUCCUUUAAUCCCUAGCUUCUUGAUUUAAUAAAAUCAAAUGCAUAUUUAUCCAAAUAAAUUAUUUUGAUAUUAACUUAUAUUAAAAUCAAGAUUUUAAUCAUUAUAUUUAUUUUCAAAAUAAUCCUUAAUUAAAAUUCAAUAUUCCAUAGAAUAAAUAUUUAAGUAAUCAAAUUAUAUGAUCUCGUAUAACUGAAUACGAUAAUAUAGAAUCAUUACUUAAAAUGAAAAAAUUACGUAUAAAAAUAGUUUAAAAACCUUUUUAUUCGGAUGAAAUAAAUAUUUCAAUUUUAUUUAAAACCGAAGAAACUCAGGAUUAAAUUUAGUCGUAGACGGCAAAUAUUAGGUGUCAACGACUGUCCCUCCCUUUGGGUAGGGUGGAUGCAAGUAACCUGGGAAAAGGGAGGUUGACGUUCCUAACUUUUGUCCAACCACAAAUUCGAAUUUGAAAGAGGUUAGCUUUUCCAAGAGUUUUAUAGAGUUAUGAACGGACUUUGGUAUCAGGUUUCUUACAUAUCUUAGGUUACAUGAUAAUUCAGGCCACUUGUAGUUCACAAAGCUUGAUUUAAAGCAUAAUUUUCAAAAACUUCACCAACUAUCUCAGUUUUUGGAGUUUUUGACGAAACUGACAAGCUAGGAAAUAGAGGGAUUUACGGGGAGAUUAGAAUGAAGUCCAAUUUUGUACAUAGAGCCCAGCCUACAUAUCCCCGAGACUCAGGGAAUCAAACUGCUUGUAGUUCAACUUAAUUGGUAGAAAAGACGGUCUUUUAUUUUAGAUGAUCUUUGGCUCGGGAUGAGUGACAAGUUGAUCAAGUUGCAGAAAAAUGGCUUGUAACCUCUUAACCAUGAAUGUGGGAUCCUUCAAAUCCAUAGGUAAGAAUUUACCUAGACAUAAUUUCCAAAACUCUGGGUGAGUUGUCUCCCGAAUUUGAAAGAAAGAGAAGAUUACCCUCGAUAUGAGCUUAGGAAUAUCCCGGUGGUGAAGCUGAAACCAGAACAUCUCAAAAUUCCUGCAUGCCUUCUAAUAGGGGUAUGGUUGGAUGGUGGUGGCGAUGAUUCUUUAGCUCGCAUCCAAUGAGUUUAACGUCCUUCUCUAGACUAUGUCCCAUUUUGCUGCUAAGAAAGAGUUCCACGUUGUGCUACGUCCUAUCUAGAGUCUUCCUCACCUGUGGUUUUGAUUUGAGAUUUUUAUCCUCUCAUAUUCUCUCGACAAUAUUUCAAACAAAAGUUAGUGCUAAACAUAAUUCACAAAAGAGGUAUAUAGUCUUUACCAUAUAUCCACGUGAGUCGUUGCCUGAAAAGUGAAGUCAUUCCUUUCAUGUACCUAUUUGGAAGGAAAUAACUUGAAACAAUAGACAAAAAAACCCUCUUGGUUGUUGCAUAAUUAUCUUAUUUGUUAAUUAAAUAUGUUUUCAAAGUGGGGUGAUCCUUUUGGACACUGAUGACACUUUAUGCAGAACGCUCCCUGCAACCGUGUAAUAUUACGCUGAGGUGAACCAUUUUGGUUGCCUAUGAUAACCUUUCUAGUUAUUGACAAUAAUCUUCUUAUGUGGCCUUGGGUAAGUCCUAAGCAUCUUUUGUAUCGAUACGACUUAUAGAUUCCCCUUGAAAUAUCGAUAUUUGGAUAAUCUUGCGUAUUAUUUGAUGUUGGAUACGACACGACUUAUAGAUAUCCUUUGAAUUGAUAGCCUUUAGGUAAUACUUCACAUUAUCCAACCUUGGAUAAGAGAUGGAUUAUAGAUAUCUCUCCAACUGAUAGUCAUCAGGUAUUCCUGAACAUCAUCUGACCUUGGAUACAAUAUGACUUAUAUAUAUGUUUUAAAUUUCUAGUCUUUGAGUAAUCCUGCACAUGAUUGAUCUUGGAUAUGAUGGACCUUGUAUAGAACCCUUGAACUUAUCAAUUUGAUGAUCUUGCAAAUUUUCGGUAAGGAUUUAGGUGCGACUUAUGAAUAACCUUCGAAUUAUCAAUUUUUGGGUAACCUUGCACACUAUCCGGUUAUGAUGUUGUGGCAGCUUACGAAUGACCUAUGGGCUAUCAACGCAUAGGUAAUCUUGCACACUAUCCUAUUUCAAAUAAUAUGACUUAGAUGACCCUCAGAUUGUCAAUUUCUAAGAAGUUUCAUAUGUCGUUUGCUUUCAGAUAGCGACUUAAUGACGUCCCUUUGAAUCACAUGCUUUUGAUGCAUUCAUAUGCCAAUUCAUAAAAUAAUGAGAUAUGCUCAACGUUAGUGCAUAGAAUCUCACGUGUUAACAGAUAUUAAAUGACGAUGAUAUCCUCGAUGCCAAUAUUUGUGUCUCGCAUGUCAACAGAUAUUAAAUGCUGAUGAUAUCCUCGACGCCAGUGUAUACUAUCUCGUGUGUCAACAGAUAUUGAAUACUGAUAAUAUCCUCGAUGCUAGUGUGUGAUAUCUCACGUGUCAACAGAUAUUAGAUGACCCUCUUGGCGAUGGUAUGAAAUGGCCCUCUUGGCAACGAUAUGAAAUGGUCCUCUUGGAAAUUAUAUAAAAUGACCCUCUUAGCAAUGAUAUGAAAUGACCCUCUUGACAAUGGCAUGAAAUGACCCUCUUUGCAAUGAUAUGAAAUGGACCUCCUUUCAAAGAUAUAAAAUAACCCUCUUUCCAAUAAUAUGAAAUAGUCCUUUUGACUAUGAUAUGAAAUGACCUUCUUGGCAAUGGCAUAAAAUGGCCCUCUUCACAAUGAUAUGAAAAGGCCCUCUUGGCAAUGAUAUGCAAUGGCCCUCUAGGCAAUGACAUGAAAUGGUCCUCUUGGCAAUGGCAUGAAAUGGCCCUCUUGUCAAUGAUAUGAAAUGACCGUCAUGACAAUGAUAUGAAAUGGCCCUCUUGACAAUGAUAUGAAAUGGAACUCUCGGCAAUGGCAUGAAAUGACCCUCUUGGCAAAUAUAUGAAAUGGCCUUCUUGGAAAUUGUAUGAAAUGGCCCUCUUGGCAAUGAUAUUAAAUGUCCCUUUUGGAAAUAAUACACAAUGCCCCUCUUGUCAAUGACAUGAAAUGGCCCUCUUGGCAAUGGAAUGAAAUGGACCUCUUGUCAAUGAUAUGAAAUGGCCCUCUUGGCAAAGAUAUGAAAUGGCCCUCUUGGUAAUAAUAUGAAAUGAGAUGUCCCUCUCUACAAUGACACAAAAUGGCCCUCUGGGCAAAUGAGAUGAUAUGAAAUAUUUUUUUUGGUGAUUUGAAAAUAGUUUCACCUGAAUUCAUUUGUUUACGUUUUGCUUUCUACAUAUACCUGUACUCAAGGUAUACAGUUACAUGACGAAUAAAUUCAUCUUGCUUCGCUCCAAGAUGAAUUUUGAAGAUGACUUUCUGCUCUUCCUCUCAUUGAGUGAUCCUUUUGAUUGUUGUAUUUAUUAUGUCGACUCCCUUGAAUGUUCGUGCACUAAAGGUAAAUAUUUAGUAGAUACAAAGUCAUUUUUUCUAGUGACUAUUUUUUAGGAAAAUUCUAAAUACAAUAUUCAUAAAGAAGAUGGGGCACCUUUGUUUGUCCUUCAUGAUCUCAAGAAAUGAGAUAGCCAAUUCAAAAGGUCCUUGAUAAAUGGGUAUGAAACUUAUUUUUGGGGCUACCCAAAAAUACCAUUCUUGAGCAUUAUAUGCUCUGGUGUGGCUCGCAAAUCACUUGGGGAUAUUUUGAAGAAGAUUCCAUUAUGUGUACUUAUCCCUGCAUCCACACAAAAUUGAUUAGUUUUGAGUGAAACUACUCCGUGUUGACCUCCUUCGAUCAUUGGUUUGCUCUUCGCCAUCUUUUAGGUGCUUUUUCAUGUUGGUAUCUCCACCCCGACUCCCUGUUCCAAUCGACGCCUAGGCAAUCACUAAGUAAAAGAGUUGUAUAGAUUUUUAAAAGUAGUCUUAAUUUUAGAAAAUAGUUUUGAAAGUUUCUGUAAAAGCUUUAGAAAAUCUCUGCCAGUCAUGUCAUGUACUAGCUCAACGAAUGUCUUCCUCUUGGUUUUGACUAUAUUCGAUGGAGGAUUUCCAAAACUUAUUAUCAUUGUUGGAAGGUUCUUCAAACAAUUCUGUCAUAGCCGGAGAUUGAGUCUACCUAGACUUUGUCACAGCUGGUGACUUCAAAAGUUUGACUUUGGCCUAUGAUACUGGAGAAUUUGAAAUAUAUUCCAGUGUUUGGUGAAAAUUUUGAGGCCUUCCUCAAAUUUCUGCUCCAGUUUAAAGUUGUUUGAGAUGAUUCAACUCAAGAGGGUUCAAAAUCUUUGUUGGUCUUCGCUCUGUUUGUUGGAUGAUGAUCUUCCUCUUGUGAAUUUUUGAGAUUCCUUCUCGAAAAUUCUGCCCCAGUUUUUAUUUCCUGGGGUUACCUGACCAAGACAUUGGGGCUCCUACAUAUCCCGUUGAAGCAGGAAUCAGGUCAAACAUAGUUCAGGACUACACUAAGGAUAUAAAAUUUUAAUGGGUUGACCAAAGCCGACAUAGGCCGCCUACAUAUCCCAUUCUUGAGAAUUUAGGUCAUCACAUAGUUCAUACAUAAAAGAAAAGGAUAAAUUAUUCUAUGGGGUUUACCAAAGCCGACAUAGGCACCUACGUAUCCCUUUCUUGGGAAUUCAGGCCAAACAUAGUUAUUACAUAAAAGAAAGGGAUUCUAGGACAUUACACAUCAUAAAAUAGAUACUAUCAUAAAGGCGAUUACAAACAAAGUAAAUAAAAUUUAAAACAUCUUUCUAAUAUUGUAUCUCUUUACCGCAUCAGAAUUAAUUGGUUUGGUCCACUCUUGGCCGUCUAUCUCAGAUAUAUUCAGUGCUCCUUCGGACAACACCUUGCAAACUAUGUAUGGUCCUUGCCAAUUCGGAGCAAACCUAACCUUGUACCCUUCUUAGUGAGGGAAUAUAUGUUUGAGAACCAAUUUUCCAAAUUCGAAUAUUUGAGCUCUUACCUUCUUGUUGAAGGCACGAAUCAUCCUAUGCUGAUUUAACUGACCAUAAUAUACAACAACCGUUCUCUUUUUGACAAUCAACCUGAGUUGUUAAUAGCUAGCGUGAACCUAUUCUUCAUUACUUAGUCCGUCUUCUUGAAUAAUCAUUAAGGAAGGUAUCUCAACCUCAGCCGGUAUCACAACUUUAUUCCCAUAAACAAGUAGAUAAAGAGUUCCCAAUGAAGGUUCAAAUUGCCAUCCGAUACCCUAGCAAAGCGUAAGACAACAUCUUAUGCCAUAAUCUAUCAUUUUUUACCAUCUUCCUCAAGAUCUUCUUGAUGUUCUUAUUGGCGGAUUCCACGGCUCCAUUAACCUGUGGGUGAUAUGCCGUUGAGUUGUGAUGAACAAAUUUAAAUUGAUCACAAAUCUCAUUCAUCAAAUGACUGCUCAAGUUUUUGUUGUUAUCAGUAAUGAUCAAUUUUGUCACCUAAAUCAACAAAUCAAGUUAUUCUUGACAAAAUCUGCAACCACUUUGUUAGUAACGACUCUAUAUGAAACAACUUCGACCCACUUAGUAAAGUAAUCAAUAGCAACCAAAAUAAAUAUAUGCCCGUUUGACACCGGUGGCUCUGUUGGCCCGAAAACAUCCAUACCCCAAGUUACGAAUGGACAAGGUGAACUCAUCGCAUAAAGCUCAUGUGGAGGCAUUCAGAUUAUGUAUCCGUGUAUCUGACAUUUUGGGCACUUCUACACACACUUACUACAAUCAUUUCCAUAGUCAUCCAGAAGUAACCAGUUCUCAAGAUCUUUCUUGCAAGGGCAAACCUGCUCAUGUAAGGCUUACAAAAUCCAGCGUGUACUUUCUUUAUUAAUUUAUUGGCUUCUGCAGCAUCGACACAUCCUAAGAAUCCUAAGUCUUGAGUUUUCCUACAAAGGAUUUCGCCACUUGGAAAAUAAUUCUUUACCAAAUGCAGAAUUGUCUUCUUCUGAUUGUUGCUGGCCUCUUCAGGAUAUAUUCUAGAUUCUAAAUACCUUUUAAUAUCAUAGUACUAUGUCUUUCCAUCGAGCUUAUCGUCGACGUGUGCACAAUGCGCGGGUUUCUCCUUCAAGUUUUUUUCCAAAGGAUCAAUGUAACUUUGAUCUGGGUGCUAAAUCAUGGAGGAUAUAGUGGCCAAAAUGUCAGCAAACUCAUUCUGUAUCCUUGUGAUAUUAUUGAAAUCAACUUCCUUGAAUCUUCCACAUAAUUCCUGUAUUAUCUCUAUAUAAGGAGUAUUCUUGAAGUUCUUUACCUCCCAUUCUCCCCGUACCUGGUAAGUCAGAAAAUCUGAUUCUCCGAUGACUAGCAUUUCAGAAACACCCAUAUCAAGUGCCAAUUUGAGACCUAAUAUGCAAGCUUCAUAUUCGUCCAUGUUAUUGGUGCAUGCGUAACUUGGUAGUUUCAGGAUAAUGUUGGCCUAUUCUAGACACUAAAACUAUUUUGAUUCCUGAACCUUUGAAGUUCACCACUCCAUCAAAGAACAGCCUCCAUCCGAGGUAAAUUUCUGCAAUGUCUUCUCACAUGAAUAAAAUUUCCUCAUCUGGGAAGUAAGUUCGAAGUGGAUCAUAUUCAUUAUCAACUGAAUUCUUUGCUAAAUGAUUUGCUAAGGCCUUCCCCUUGAUUGCCUUUUGAGUCACAUACACUAUGUCGAACUCACUCAGCAACAUUUACCACUUAGCUAAGUUUCCUGUAGGCAUGGCUUUAUGGAAUAUAUACUCUAAUGUAUCCAUUCUCGAAAUGAGAUAUAUUGUGUAUGAGGAUAGAUAAUGCCUUAAAUUUUGUGCAGCCCAGGUUAAAGCACAACAUGUCCUUUCUAUGAGAGUAUAGCGAGCCUUAUACGACGUAAACUUUUUACUCAAGUAGUAAAUGGCUUUCUAUUUCUUACCGCUUUCAUCAUGUUUCUCGAGCACACACCCAAAAGAAUUUUCUAAGACUGACAGGUAAAGCAACAACAAACUUCCUUUCCUUGGUGGCACCAAAAUCGGCGGUGCGGACAAAUAUUCCUUCAUUCGGUCAAAAGUCUUCUGACAUUCUUCCGUCCACUUAUGCCAUGCAUCUUUGUUCAACAUCUUAAGAAUUGUCUUGCAUAUGAUUGUUGACUGGGCAAUGAAUUUGCUAAUGUAAUUUAAAUGACCCAUAAAACUCAUAACCUCUUUCUUCCUCCUCAGCGGUAGAAGAUAUUGAAUUGUCUUAAUCUUGGACAAGUGAUGUUGGGUGAAUUUAUGCAUUCUAGCGCUACUAUUCUAGCAUUUAGCUUUGUUUUAAGGAUGAUUAUUAUGCUAUAUGUGUUAAUAAUGAUAUAAAUGAUCAAUUAUGUGUCCAAGGAUGUUUUCACAAUGUUUAAUGGUGUUUCCACACAAGUUUUUAUUCAAUUCGACCAUUUAGAGUUCAACCGAGAAAACUAGUGUGACUAGCUUGAGCUAGGUGUUUUUCUAGUCUAUUCUGUUGAGUUAUAGUGUGUUUUAAUGAGUUAGUCAUUAUGUUUUUAUAUGUGAAAAAACUUAUUUAUAAUGUUCAAGGGUUAAUUGGAUCAAGAAAAGAGUGAAUACAAUGAGUUAAAGCUCAAUGUGAAUUUAGCCUAUGUGUAGCUUGUGUUUCUAGUUCAUCGGUGAGGAUGUUGUGCUGUUUUGAGUUCUUAAUUGAUGUGUUUAAUGAUUUAAGAUGAUUUGUGAAUGGAUUAUGAUGAUAUAUUAAGGAUAUACAAGAUUUAAAUCAAGUGUAAACAACUCAAGAAGGCUCGGAAUGCUCAACAAAAGCACAAGACGCAAGUUGGACCCCUAAAAAGUAUUGGGCGAGUGUCGAAUGUACAGGUAGAAAAUGGAGGAUUUAAAAUUACCACUAUAUUCAGAAGAGUACCAAUCUUUUGUAAAUAUGGUGCGUGUAGAUUAAUUUGGAGUUUAAGGAGGCCCCGUGACACGUUGACUUCUUGAACAGCUACUGGAAUUUGACAGUUUUUUCGACAAUUGUUUAUUUGCAUGUCUCCGCAUCGCACUGACGUCCAAAAUCGGGAUAACACUACCCAGCUAAAGUAAAAUAGCGUGGAAAUCCAAUCUAAGUAAGUUUAUGACUUGUAUACUAUAAAUAUAACGUCCCAAACUCCGUUUUAAUCAUCUUGGGACCUCUUGGAAACCCUAGAUCAACACGGACCAUCUUGAACUUAUUCCAAAGACCAGUUUACUUCUUUUUGGGCUCUGAGCUUGUAAUUCAAUUUUCAAUCCUUUGAUUUAGUUGUGGGAAAUUCUUAUUUUACUUGGAGGAGAAUCAACUUUGGAUUUCACCUUUUGUAAGUUUAUUUGCUUUCAAUUAUGAAUUCAAUCGUUGUUAUCUCUUUCUAUCUUAUGAGCAACUAAAACACCCAACUAGGGUUGUGGGAUAUAUGACUAUUCCUUCAUUGAUUUAGUAGUUGGUUAGAGUUCGAGUGAUUGUGGGAACAUCUUGAUAAUUCUGUUGUAAUGUUUGAUUUCUAUUGGAUUGCAAACAAUAGAUCCCGCCUUAUGUUGAUUUACUCAAACUGAGAAAUAAACAAAAGGUAGUGAAUUAUCAACUAGGAUUUGGGAAGGCUAAGCUCCCAUCUAUUGAUUAAUGCUGUAACAAGAUUGAUCAAUUUGAGAUAAAAUCAGUAUGAAUAGUAGAUUUCCUAAGUUCGAGAGAAUUAGGAAUUUAAAUAUCUAGGUAGGUUGAGAAACACUUAGAUGAACUGUCGAAAUUGAUAAUUUGGUGUUUCCCACAAGUCACGAGAAUCCAAUACUACAACUAUUAAUCAAUGAGGGAUUAAUAAUCAUAGUGAUCACAACUCUAGUUUCUUUAUCUCAUUGAUUUGAAAUAUUGAAAUUUUAGUUUUGGGUUUCUAAAGCAAGUUGAGAAAUUAAAUAAUUGAACACCCCCAGUUUGUCUUUCCGUGUCAGUUGUUUGAAUUUAACUUGUAGUUAUAGUUUCAAAUUAGUUUAAUCGCCACUCACAUUAUUCCCUGUGGAUUUGACCCCGACUCCAAAGUUGGGUAAAUAUAUUGACGACGAUCGCCUUGCACUAAAUUGACGUGUAAGUUGAGGGUUAUCAAUGAGUCUAGCUCGAUGCCUCUUCUGCUGACUAUGAUCCUUAGUAAUUUCUCAACUAGCACACCGAAAGCACACCUAGCAGGAUUCAACUUCAAAUUGUAUUUUUUUAAUCUGUUGAAGAAUUUUUCCAGAUGGGUCAGAUGAUCCAAACUCUCACGGGAUUUGAUAAUUACAUCAUCCACGUACACUUCAAUCUCUUUAUGAAUCAUAUCAUGAAAAAUCAUUGUCAUAGCCCUCAUAUAUAUUGCAUCCGCAUUCUUAAGACCAAACGGCAUUAUCUAUAAUGAUAAACACCCCAGGGCGCGAUGAAAGUUGUCUUUUAUGUAUCUUCCUCGUCCAUUAAUAUUUGAUUAUUCCCAACAAAAUAAUCCAUGAAAGAUUUUAUUUCACACUUUGCACAAUUAUCGAUAAGGAUGUGGCUGUUGGGUAGCGAAAAAUUAUCUUUCAGACUGGCUCUAUUUAAAUCUCUAUAGUCAACAGAAAUUCGAAUCUUGACAUCCUUCUUCGGCACUGGGAUGAUAUUGGCUAGACAUGUCGGAUAUUUUAUGACCUCCACAACCUUAUACUGAAUUUGCUUUGUCAUUUCUUCCUUUAUUUUUAGACUUAAAUCCGGCUUGAAUUUCCAUAUUUUUUGCUUGACCAGAUCAAACUCAGGAUUUAUCGAUAACUUAUGCGACACAAUGUUAGUGCUCAAUACUGUCAUAUCAUCGUAGGACCAAGCAAACAUGUCAAUGAACUUCUGCAACAAGUGAACGAGUUCUCUUUUUUGUGCUUCUGCUAAGUAACACUAACACUUGUUUCUUUGAUUCAUCAUGAUCUCCCAGGUUGAUUGUUUUAGUUUCCUCUAGGUUGGGCUUCUCUUGAUUCUCAAAUUCUUCUAUAUCUUCAAUUAAUCGCUCCUCAUCGCCUUCUUUCCAAUCAUCAUCAUUCCCCUCAGUUUGUUCGUUUGAGCUUUGGCAUUACAUAAUAUUGGUAGGUUUUACCGAGGACAUGACCCUAGAUAGGAAGGUCUGGAAGACGCGAAUUACGGCAGAGGAUUAGGGCCUGUUCGGGUCGCUAAUGUAGGGAGGUAAUUGGUGGGGGUGUAUUCCUGGUAUGAUUCCGUAUUCAAUGUUCUGUUCCGUGUUCCGUGUUCUAUGUUUGUUACGAAUCUGUGUGCUUUCCUCUGCUUUAUAUUCCUGCCUUCCUGCUUUACUCUGUUUUAUAUUCCUUAUGGCUGCAGUAUCUAUGUUAUGUCAUCUGCUUCUGUGCUGUACUAUGUGUUUGUUUGAUAUCUCGUAACUUGAGCCGGGGGUCUUUCGGAAACAGCCUUUCUACUUCAUCAGAGGUAGAGGUAUGGACUGCGUACAUCUUACCCCCCCCAGACCCCACAAAGUGGGAAUACACUGGGUUUGUUGUUGUUGUUGUUGUUGUUAAGUUACUAUUAGUGUAAUAAACAAACAAACCAAGUUUGAUGAUAACAUGCUAAUAAAAAAUAUUAAUAUAAUCAUGUUUCAAAAUAACUUUUUAAAUAAAGGGAGGCUUUUUCAUUGAAAUUUAGGAAAUAAGUACAAACUAUGGCUUAUAACCCAUGCAAAUAUGGGCCCAUGCAUUUUUUAAAGUAGUAAAAUAUGAAAAGGAAGUUUGAGACAUAAAAUGGUUGAUCACGAGGACUUCUCCAGAUCAUCACCAAUUUUUAAAACUACUAGUAAUUGCCCUUUCAUCUACCAUAAUGGGUGACGGGUUAUGAGUGGAGUGAAGGUCCAGUUUUGCAAAGCUUCUCCCUUUGCAACCCUCUUUACCCCACUGAACUUUGGAAAAUCUUCUAGUACUGCAUUGCAUCCCUCGAACAGACUUCCUAUCCCAUCCCUAAGACCAUCUUCAUUUGAGGAAAUGUCUGGUAUAGGAGCGGCAAGGGCCUAGGAAUACUCAUCUUUGAUGUAUCCUCAAUCUCAUCCUCCUUUGUUGGCUUGUAUCCUAACCCAUACUUGAAUUCUUUAUAUGGACCAUAAUGGGCUCAAUAAUUCCCUACAAAUUCUUACCCAAGACCCGACCAGGCUCGGACCUAUUUUUUAGCAUCACAGUCAUAAUUAUUUUUUAGACAAAAGGCAUUGGAGCUUUGGGCAUCAGAUCUUUCUCCACAACACUUACAAUUUUCACAACAUAAAAACUACUACCUUUUGAGAUAUCUUUAAUCACCGGCACACAACCAUUGGGAUGAUUUGUAUGGCUUCUUUCCCCUUGAAUAACUAUUUCAUGAUACUUCCAAAUAAACUUCAAUAACUGAUGAAGGGUUGAUGAAACUGCCUUUGCACCAUGGAUCCAUGGUCUUCCCAAGAGCCGGUUGUAACUAGGAUGGAUAUCCAUAACAUGAAAUUUAUCCUUGAAUUUUGUAAGUCCCAUCUAUAUGUACAAAUUAAUUUCACCUAUGGUAUAUCUCUGCCCUCCAUCAAACCCCCACAUAUUUAUGUGGCUUUGGCGAAUUUUUCCCAAAUCAUAGCCCAUUUGAACCAAUGUGGAAAGAGGAAAAAUGUUCAAACCAGAUUCGUCAUCUAUCAAUACCCGAUUAAUCACAUAAUUCAGACAAAUAAUAGUGACGUGUAAGUCUUUAUUAUGCAUCACUCCCUCAAACGAUAACUCUUUCUCACUAAAGGAUAAGCGAUGACUUCCCACAAUAUUUCCUAUCAUCACAGCCAUAUUCUCAACACUCAUUCCUAUGGGAACAUAUGCGUCAUCUAAGACCUUCAAUAAAGCUUAUCGGUGGUAUUGGGAACUCAUUAAAAGUGCCAAAAUAAAAAUCUGGGCUGGAGUCGUUUCCAAGUUCUUGAAAAAUGAGUAGUCUUUUGGUUGCAUACGCCUCCAAAAUUCCUCGUCCUCCCCUUUAGUGAUAGUCAUUUUCUACGAAUCAUUCCUAUUGGUUAAAUCUCUAGGGAUGUAGUAUCGCCCAGAUCGCCUCAUCCCUUGGGCAGUGAUGGUCUCUACAAUAAAUUCCUUCCUAGGUGGAGGAGUGUACACUUGAGUCGGGCCUAUCAUUACUAUAAAUGGGGGAUUCUCAUUGACUCUUAAGAAAGAUACGACUCUCUCUAUCUUCUCCACCUCUUCCAUCCUUUUGAACUUUUCUGAAUUCGCCUUAGUGAUGGUCUUGCUAGACGCCCAUUCGCCCUUUAUUUUAAUCAUGUUAACUGCAGGUCCCCCUUGAUUAGGCAAUGGAUUACUGUUGACAUUUAGUGCUGGCGAUUGAAGCUUGAUGACCUUCUAAUCAAUCAAAUCUUGGAUCUUGUGUUUUAAGUUAAUACAAUCCUCGGUACUGUGCCCCUCCACUCCCAAAUAACAGGGACAAUUUUGAUUGGCACAAUAAAAUUGAGAAUUUGGAUUGAUAAAAUUUGGUUAAAUAGGCUAUAAAUGACCGGCAUCUUUUAAUCUCCCAAAGAGUUGGGUGCGACUUUCGGCCAGCGGCAUAAAAUUUCGGGGAGGUCUUUUUUUGAGGUUUGGGAGUGGAGGAUUAUAAUGGUUCUGAUCAGAAAAAAGAAGGCACUUGAUGGUAAUUUGGAGGCGCUUGGGCUUUUGUUCGGUAAUUUGGAAGGGUAUAUUGAACAUUAGGCUAAUAAAUCAGCUGUAGAACUUGGUAUUGGGGUAAAAUAUUUGGUUGUGAAGCUUGGUAUUGGGAUUGGAUAUUUGGAAGUGGAGCUUGGUAUUGGGAAUUGAUAUUUGGAAGAGGAUCUUGGUAUUGGGGUUGGGUGUAGAAUACAUGCUGAAAAUUUAGAGACGGAGGAGAAGAUAAAACGUUCCUAGGCUUGAAUUUAUUCUUCAAUUUAGCAACAGAAUCAGCAAAGACCGCACCUACAUCUUUUUUUUCUUCUUUGGGAAUAUAAAAAACCCUUAUUAUGUUUGGGUUUUGACAAUCUUUCAUGUUCGAAUGACUUCUUCAAGCGAUUCCCCAAUUUUUACCAAAUCUGCAAAAGUUGCUCUGACUGCGGAUACCAUCCUAAUAUAAUAUUCUCCCUCCUGAGCAUGAGAGAACACAUACACUAUCUCUUUCUCAGACAUGGAAGGUUGUACUUUGGCAGCUUUUUUUCUCCAACGGAAGGCAUAGUCUCGGAAGCACUCAUCAUUUUUUUGCUUGAUCCGGUCCAAUGAGUAUCGGUUAGGGACUAUUUCCAAAUUAAAUGCAAACCUUUUGAGGAAACCUUUAGCCAGUGCCCUCCAGCUAGCCCAUAUUUUUAGUUCUUAAUACGUAAACCAAUCUAAGGCUUCACCACUUAAGCUUUGGCUGAAUAAGCGCAUCAAUAAUGCCUUAUUUUUUCCUACUACUAUAAUUUGAUCACAAUACCUUCUCAGAUGAGCCAUCGAAUUUCCAGUACCAUUGAACACCUCAAAUUUAAGGACCUUGUAUCCUUCUGGUAGAUCUACUCCAGGGGAACACAUAGAUUAUUGUAGACUAGUCUAUUAUUUACCCCCGCCCCGUGAGAUUCCUUGAUCAUCAUAAUCUCUUCAUUUAGAGCCAAUAACUUUAUUUCAUGCUCAGUCUUCCACUCUUUUUCCUUCUCUUUAUAAUGGUCUAUCUCAUGAUUAGGAAGGGAAUCAUAGAUAUCAAGGGACAUGAUGACAUGUGGAGGAUUUAGAAGGGUAGCUUGAUUUUGAGGAUGAAAGGAAGUUGGUUGGUAGGUGGGGAGGACAUUUUGGAAAUUGGAAAUUUUUGUGGAAUUCAAGAGUAGUUUGGUGGGAUUUGAGAAGGAUUUUACAGAUUUGGAAAUGAAUUUUGUUGAUUUGGAGACAGAUUUGGUGGAUUUGGUAACGAAUUUUCUAGAUUUGGGAGCGAAUUUUGUGGAUUUGGAAGUGGGUUUUAAGGGUUUGAAAAUGAGUUCUGGGGAUUUAGGAAUGAAUUUUGUGGAUUUGAAGACGGAUUUUGUGGGGUUAGGGAUGGGUUUUAUGGAUGAUAAGAAUCUGGGUUAUUUUCUCGGUUGGUGUUUUGGACUAGUUGAGGAGUAGAGGCUGACGAUAUAUUAUUUGGAUGGACCCCGAGAAUAAGCAUAUUGAGAGGAGGGAUCUUUAGUGGAGUCUCGUGUCUUCCUAGAGCGGGAGCAUUAUCAGUGAUGGCCAGGUUAGCCAAAUCUCGAGUACGGUUCAUCUCCUCCUGAAGUAUUUCCAAUUUUCUCAUGAGUUCAACAAUCAUCUCACUUUGUUCCGCUAUUACAUUGUCAUCGAUGGUCAAUGUAUUUUCUUCGUCAUACCCAGUUAUGCUUGAAUGAUGAUUAGGGGAUGGGAUCUUAUGCGCUUUUGACCGGGUGAAGUAAGGAUGUUUUGCCAGCUUAUUUCAACACGGAGUAGUUUUCUAUUAGAUGUAAAGUAAAAUAACUCAAAGACAGAUGUGUUAGUUUUCAUAUGUGAUAAGUAAUGCAAGGUAUUUGACAAGAAGUAACCACAUAGAGUUGUUGGUGCCAUAGACAAACUGAUCCAUGGGAGCAUAGUGGAUAAAUUUUUCUUUCACUCAAACAAACACACAUAAACACCUAAAGUAGUUAUAUCACAUAAACACUAUAAUAGCGCAUAUCCUAACUGGGGUGACCCUUUUUUAGCCAAGGGUUUGGGCCUAACAGAUUUUAAAGAAAAUAUAUGUCUGUUUAAAGCCAAUACAUUAUCCCCCAACUUUCAUUGAUAUGUAAAAGGGCAUAAAUUCCUACAAAAAAUAACAAAAGAGGGAUACAAUCUUUUGGAAAAAGAAAGAUAACAUGAAAGAAGAUAAGGUCCCACACAGGGGAAUAGAAACAUUAGCUACUGGAUGCUCCUUUGUUUGUUCUUGCCUUCUUAGCCUUAUUCACCUCCUAUGAUAUUUGAUACCUAUUGAUGAUCAGAUGACUCCCACAUGACUACACCUUGUUGUCGUAGGUUAUUCUUUCUAUACUAUCGAUUUAAGAAGCCAUGCUAUCAUCCAAAUCGAUUAGACACUUCCUAGCAUCAUUAGCCUCCUACCUGGCUCGCUUCAACUCUUCCCUCAACAUAUGCAUAGUCAAAACAUCCUCCAUAUGCAUCUGUUGGUGCGUAAUUUCACUUUUUUGAAAUUCAUCUUGAAGCCUGUGAAGUUGGAUUUAAUGCUCCGAUUCUAUAUCAAUAACCCGAGUGGGUACAUUCAGCCCCAAAAUCAAUGCUCCGGCGAGACUCUUCUUCAACCACUCCUUGUAAGUAUCGCUGGAUUCAAGUUCAUAAUCGAUACGGAAAGAGACUUCCUUCCACUUUCUUUUUCUCCAUCCAUUUACCAUGUAAUCUUUGAGCGGAGACUCGCUUUUAUCAUACUCACUGAAGAAUCUAAGCAUAGACGCGGUUUGGGGCGUCUCCUUCUUGAACUCGAAUUGCGUAAGAACUCUGCCAAGAUUGUAGGGAUGGUUCCCCGUGAGACCUGGAAACACUACAAAAGGCCACUCACCCUUUAUCGAAUGGUGUAUCUCCCUGAACGAAGAUAUUUAAUGGACUAUUGGACAUCGUCAUCCCAUAAUUCCCCAAAAGUCUUAAACCUAAAUUUUGGAGAUGCUUCCCUUUUGAACUUAUGCAGGAACAACCACAUGUCGUGCGAUGAUAGAAGAUCCCCUCUUGUUUGAUGAUCAGGCUGUACUAUUCUAGGAUUUUUCACUUAAUGCAUCAUCAUCUACCAUUGCAAGACAAGGUUCCAUCCUUUAAGGAAAUAAUUAUCGGCUUUACACCUUCCCAAAGCUAGAUAUAUGUCGGCUACAAUCAUGGGAGGAAAGUUGUGGAAUACCUUUUUAGAGCCGUACUUUAUUCCAUAGAAGAGAGCGUGUGCAACCAUGAAAAUCUUGGAUGAAUUGUGUCAUUUUCCCCUUGUGGGAACACAAUUGUUCCAAGUAGGCCUACCACAAAUGCAAAUGCUGUUGUCUCCUUCUAUUUUGCUUCCGACUCAAAUUUAUGUCCGAACUUCUAAAAAACAUUCAACCUUCUGAACCAGCGAUACAACUCACAAAAAGGGAUGUUUGCCCCAUCAUGUUCCCCUAGUGUGUCAGCAUUAAUUAAAAAUACCUUCUUAAUCUCUUGACGAUCCUUUACAAUCGGGACUAGAAUUCUUAAUAGGUGUCGCUUUUCUCUUAAAACACAUUUCAGUAGACUCAAAACAAACUAACACCUCUUUAAUGGUGGGAGUCAAUUCAACAUCCCUGAAGCAAAAUACCAUAUUCUGAUCAUCCCAAAAGGUUGUCAGUACAUGGAUCAUUUCAGGCCAAACAUCCAUCUCGAUCAAUAAAGGCAAAUGCCUGAUAUCUAUUCUAACAAUCUUUCUUUAUUCUCCGCUUAUGUAAUACCACCAUAGUUUCAAAAAGUUGUGGGGUCCGGUAAACAUUUUGAACUUUUUGCGAGAAUGCAGUUGAGCCAUAUCCUACACAAAAGUAAACAAAGAUGAGCCUCUCCCCGACCCCAAAGGAUGAUGGAUUAUAUAAAACAAACAUAUAUUUUCUUCAACACAUAAAUAUGAUUCGUCCGUAAUUGACUUGGGGUCAAUAGAUGCAGGGCAAGUUUUUAAUGGGCCCAAUACUUCCCUUAGGUAUUGGUAACGUCCUAGCCUCAUACCUAAAAAUAGGGUUUUGGUUUCACUCUAUCCUAGGUGUCUAGAGUGGGUUUGAACUAGGUUUCCAAGCGGAAGACUUGGGUUUGGAAAUACGAAUAGCCAUCAGAUGACUCAUGUGCUAAUAAACCGUCGUAUUUCCAACACUUUAUUUGGAAUUGAACAACAGGGGCCGGGACAUCCGCGAAACCCCAAACAAUUUAAUAGAUUAAUGCAGGAUCAUGCUAUGAGAUGCAAUAAUUAAGUAUCGCGAAAUCAAACAUAUAAACACAUAAACAGUUAAUGAAAAGAUGAAAUCAAAUAUUUGGUUAGAACUUAGUGAAAAAAUACCCAGUGGAGUCGCCAUUUCUGUUUAGUGGAAAUUUUAACUUUUUUAGAGUCGAGACUUGAUUUUGGAAAGGAAAUAAGAAACCUUCACGAUACUUUAAACGAUCCAAAACAGAAAAAUAAUUUAAAUUUAAAGAUCCUGAUAAGCGAUUUCUAUUAACAUUUUAGGAAGGUUUUAAGGCAUCUAAAGCGUCCGCUAACAUGUGGUUAUCCAGACUGUUUGAAAACAUGUUUUGACUAACUUCCAAAAGAUUGAUUUGUUCAAAAAGUGAUUGAUUUUUUCUUUAGAAAAGACUUGUAUAAAAUAAAUUUAGGCUGACUUAGUAGGGAUUUUAACUAAGUCUAAACAAAACUAAUAAAUAAAUAAACACAUAAAAGGGGAAAGGGAGGAGAAAGUAAAGAUUUAGGCCAUUGGGCCCAAAUCAACGAAACCUGUCCUAAUCUAGAUAGGAAAAAAUACAUAACGCAGCAUACUUAAGUAUUAAAUUACAAAAAAUAACAACACUUUUUUCAAAUUAUAUUUUGUAGCAUAUGUAUUUGUAUGUAUUUGUAUUUUUGUAGCAACAAUUUGUAAAAAUACAAAAUACAUAUUGAUCAUAAGGGCAGUAAAAAUCAUAUGUAUUUGUAUUUUUGUAGCAAUAGUUUGCAAAAAUACAAAAUACAACUUGUUAUAUUAUGUAAUUAUGAAACUAUUGCUAUGAAACUCAUAAUUAAGGGGAUAAGUAUGUUAUUUCUGAAUUUUGCCCAUCUAUAUAUUGGGACCUUGGCCCAUAACCUGUCCUAGUCUAAUUUUUGAACCUUUGGCUCGAGUUUCACUUUACCUGUAUUAAAUACAACUUUGGCUUCGAGGCCCAAAUGAGUGAAUAAAUAAAUAAAAUAAAUAACAACAACAAUAAAAAUGAAUAAAUAAAUAAAUGAAACUUUCAAGUCUCUUAGCCGCUUCGAGGAUGAGACUUUAACCCAUUUUCCUUCUUUUGACUCCUUGCAUCUGUAUUUAAUUUGACUUUAGGCUUUUUUCGGCUUGACUCAGAAAGUAGGCCUUAUUGUCCCAUUAUGAAUAUGCAAAAAGGGAAGAGUCCGUGUGGGACUCGAAUGAUGUCCAUGCAUAGAAAAAAUAAAUAAAGUAAACAUUAAUACAUAAUCGAUAGAGUAAAAGAAGUCAACCUAUGAUCAAACUAAAUAGGAAAACUAAAAUAGCUAAUACAUGAUCAACCAAGGAGGAACGAAAACGUAAAGAAAAUUUGUUCAUAUUAACUACAUAAGUAAAGAAACAAGGAUCCAAACAAAUAAUUGAAAAAAAAUGGAGAUAAUAAGACACACAUAUCAACUCAAAAAAUAGGCGCAAUCAAGGUAGGAGAAUUAAAGUAACUAACGUGGGAUCAACAUAAUGAAGGAAGAGGAUACAUGGAACCCAAUACCUAAUCAACUGAGAAAAUAACAUGACAUGGAUAUUUAAUAAUUAAAAAUCAAUUAGUGAAUAACGAGAUAUGCUCGUAAGGGCAAAACAAUAACAUGGAGGAGUGGCAGGUAUUCAAGUAGUAACGGAAAUAGAAAUUGAAUUAAUUUCUAGACUAAAAUUUAAGAAGACAUUAGCGGGGCUAGAGGGACAUUUUCUGGGACUCUGAGAGGCAACCUUUGAGAAAGAAUUCUCAGACUUUAUUUGUAAGAAAAAUUAAGUAGCAACAACUACUGAACGACCAAAGCUUUUCUUUUUGGACUUCAAAUGAUAUAAAGAUCAAUCGCGUCAUUGUGUUAGCGAAGUCAUUACUUCACAAAAAAAAAGAAGGGAAAAAAACCUUUCGGGAUGUAAAUCUCACCGUAAUGAACUCUUUUCGGUAUGUGAAGUUAUAGGGUUAUUAUUGCAUGAUAAUCGAACAAAACAAGCAAGGGCAGGAAAACACUUGAUGAUCCCGAAUGCUCCAAAGGGAAGAUUGGCAGUAGACCCUCGAAGAUGGAAGUAGACAACCGUGAUACUCUACUCCACAUUUCGACCUAGCUUUCGAGAGUAAAAUGGAUAUGACUUCAUCCCUCCUUUCUUGACCAAGAAAAUCAUCGGGAAUCUUUAAUCUUAACACAAAUUACAUACAUAGUGCAACAACAAAAUUGAAAUAUCCUUUUCGAACAAGCAUAGUUCAACAGGGCAAUAUCGCAUUUACCAUUCUAACAAAAACCCAAACUGGACAAAAAUCCAAAAGAAAAACGAAAAUCAAAUUUCAAUUUUUUGAUACCAAAAUAGGCGCAACUGACAAAUUAAAGAAAGGGGAGUGGCAGGGGAUAUUAUUCUCAUCCUCACCCUCUUUCUGAUAGACUCAAAUAAAAUGACCAUCGAGAGAUAGUCCUACUAGCGACAUUGCGACACCGUCUACAAAUGAUAACAUAUAAGAUAACGUCAAAAAACAUCUACGAUUAAGACCUCAUCAGGAUGGAAACCAUUAAGCAAGAAUCAAAACAUAGACCUUAACCAUGAAAAUAGUGACCCAACCCAAAAACAGCAACAAUGAAAAAAAUGACCUGAACUACAAACAGUGCACCAGAUGAGGACCUAGAUAAAAAAUUACUCGAUAUUGUCAAGAUUACAUGACCAACUAAAAAAUCGAGACAAUGAUGACAGAAAACCACAUAUUAUAAUAGGAAAUAACCCUAACAAAACAAAACUAAGUAUCCUUCUUCACUAAAGAGAAACCUAUGACCUAUAAAGCCUUUACAGCAAACAACCCAGCACACCACAUCACUAAAAGAAACCUACAACUUCAAAAGGUUAGGAUAUAGAAGAAAUAGUCGAAAGCUUAAAUGGAAUGUGAUAUUACCUAUUCAGGAGCAGCAAAAUAGAAUCUCAAACUUUUUGGAAUCGAUCGCCUCCAAAAUACGUUGUCCUCGAUUCAGAAAUUUCAAUUUCCUACCAAAUUUUGGAGAAAAAAAAAGAAGAAAAAUAGAAAAAAUUUGCAUAAAUUUCUACUAAAAGAAGACUGUAUCUGCUUUUCUUUUGCUCGAAGGCUCCCCUUUUUUGUAUUUGAGAUUUUCUCUCUUGUAAUUUUUGCUUCUCACCUCCAAAAAAUUCCCAACCCUGAAAAUUGCUCCACGUUGAGCUAUUUAUAGAAAGGUGUAUGGGUGUAAUUUAGGGAUUUCUAAAAUAGGAAAUUUUGAAAUUCAAAAGGAAGGCGCCCCUUUUUUGUAUUUGAGAUUUUCUCUCUUGUAAUUUUUGCUUCUCACCUCCAAAAAAUUCCCAACCCUGAAAAUUGCUCCACGUUGAGCUAUUUAUAGAAAGGUGUAUGGGUGUAAUUUAGGGAUUUCUAAAAUAGGAAAUUUUGAAAUUCAAAAGUCAAAUCCCUCCUCCGCUUCGGUUUACAUCCACGAUGUCUAUGAAUUUUUUUAAUUCUUUGGCAAAAAUUGAAAAUGUUUGACCAAUAAAAUUUGGGAAAAACAAAUUGUCCUAAAAAACCGAAUGAGAUUCAUUCAAAUAUGUACGAAAUCGUACCAUUUCAUCUGAGAAUCGCGAAUUCAAACCGUUGGGGAGACAACUCAUCAAAUUCUAGAAAUUUCUUGGCUUUUCUCGUAUGAAUUCGAGUGGGACGGGUGGAGAGGAUUAGAAUGGGUCAAUUGCGGGUUGUGCUGGGUCGGGUCACCGUUGAAGCCGGAGUAUUGCUUGUUGGAUUGUCUUCAUUGGUGUCUUAUCAGGUUGAAACCAUUGUGGGUAUUUCUGAUAAUGUUGUUUCUACUAACGGGUAAAAGGAGAAAAGAAG
rnacentral:lncRNA from 1 species